rnacentral:rRNA from 3 species
GACGAACGCUGGCGGCGUGCCUAAUACAUGCAAGUCGAACGAACUCUGGUAUUGAUUGGUGCUUGCAUCAUGAUUUACAUUUGAGUGAGUGGCGAACUGGUGAGUAACACGUGGGAAACCUGCCCAGAAGCGGGGGAUAACACCUGGAAACAGAUGCUAAUACCGCAUAACAACUUGGACCGCAUGGUCCGAGCUUGAAAGAUGGCUUCAGCUAUCACUUUUGGAUGGUCCCGCGGCGUAUUAGCUAGAUGGUGGGGUAACGGCUCACCAUGGCAAUGAUACGUAGCCGACCUGAGAGGGUAAUCGGCCACAUUGGGACUGAGACACGGCCCAAACUCCUACGGGAGGCAGCAGUAGGGAAUCUUCCACAAUGGACGAAAGUCUGAUGGAGCAACGCCGCGUGAGUGAAGAAGGGUUUCGGCUCGUAAAACUCUGUUGUUAAAGAAGAACAUAUCUGAGAGUAACUGUUCAGGUAUUGACGGUAUUUAACCAGAAAGCCACGGCUAACUACGUGCCAGCAGCCGCGGUAAUACGUAGGUGGCAAGCGUUGUCCGGAUUUAUUGGGCGUAAAGCGAGCGCAGGCGGUUUUUUAAGUCUGAUGUGAAAGCCUUCGGCUCAACCGAAGAAGUGCAUCGGAAACUGGGAAACUUGAGUGCAGAAGAGGACAGUGGAACUCCAUGUGUAGCGGUGAAAUGCGUAGAUAUAUGGAAGAACACCAGUGGCGAAGGCGGCUGUCUGGUCUGUAACUGACGCUGAGGCUCGAAAGUAUGGGUAGCAAACAGGAUUAGAUACCCUGGUAGUCCAUACCGUAAACGAUGAAUGCUAAGUGUUGGAGGGUUUCCGCCCUUCAGUGCUGCAGCUAACGCAUUAAGCAUUCCGCCUGGGGAGUACGGCCGCAAGGCUGAAACUCAAAGGAAUUGACGGGGGCCCGCACAAGCGGUGGAGCAUGUGGUUUAAUUCGAAGCUACGCGAAGAACCUUACCAGGUCUUGACAUACUAUGCAAAUCUAAGAGAUUAGACGUUCCCUUCGGGGACAUGGAUACAGGUGGUGCAUGGUUGUCGUCAGCUCGUGUCGUGAGAUGUUGGGUUAAGUCCCGCAACGAGCGCAACCCUUAUUAUCAGUUGCCAGCAUUAAGUUGGGCACUCUGGUGAGACUGCCGGUGACAAACCGGAGGAAGGUGGGGAUGACGUCAAAUCAUCAUGCCCCUUAUGACCUGGGCUACACACGUGCUACAAUGGAUGGUACAACGAGUUGCGAACUCGCGAGAGUAAGCUAAUCUCUUAAAGCCAUUCUCAGUUCGGAUUGUAGGCUGCAACUCGCCUACAUGAAGUCGGAAUCGCUAGUAAUCGCGGAUCAGCAUGCCGCGGUGAAUACGUUCCCGGGCCUUGUACACACCGCCCGUCACACCAUGAGAGUUUGUAACACCCAAAGUCGGUGGGGUAACCUUUUAGGAACCAGCCGCCUAAGGUGGGACAGAUGAUUAGGGUG